AUUCCGUCAAUUUUGAAAAUUUUGGGUCCCACCACGAAAUUGAAGCUACAGUAA
rnacentral:sRNA from 1 species